rnacentral:lncRNA from 1 species
CUUUCUCCUCAUAAGAUGGGUUUUGGGUUCCUUCUCCCUACUAUAAGAAGGAGGAAGCCACACCACCAGGCACUGGACCAGCAGGUCCCCUCUCAGCACAGUCCUGUCCUUGAUGCACUGGGUGUCCUGCAUCAGAGAGGAAGCUAGGUCUCCUUCCGACUUCCUAGUUCUGUGACUCUGGUCCUGGCCACCAGAACAUCAUCAGCCAUGGUCAAGCCUGACUUCUCGGGUGUGUCCCUAUCUGACAGUGGAAGGAGGAUGGGCCCUGGGGUGCUGCCUGGACUGCAGUCACAGCAAAGCAUCCCACCUUUUCCCAGAGAGCUCUACGGCCAACUCCAAGGAAAGACCGGACACCUGGCCCAGGCAGAGGCCUCACGUGCAGACAGGGUGCAGGAAUGGGUCCUCCAAACUGAAUAACCCAAUUAUGAGUCAUCUAAACACACUCCACCUGAACAGCUUCGUAUGUUAGAUCUGAAGGCAUCAAACCAGACUCUGUUUUUAUGCAGGGAUGCAACAGAUCCAUUUUAUUUAAACCAUGGAUUUUUUUUCCUUUUCAGUUUUUAUUUUUAAUUAGUCCAUGCUUGUAGUACAUAAUGAUUACAUUGUGCCCGGAAUUUAGCUCAGUGGUUCUGCUGCUGCCUGCCUUGAAAGUGCAAGGUCUGGAGUUCAAUCCUCA